UUCCAUAAGGAGUGGAACCAGAAGGGGCUGAGGUCGCGGUUAACGUGGAAAACUGAUGAGUGCCACUCGUUAACCCAGCGGCAGGGUGUGAUGGACCGAGCCUUGAAAUCCCCUGUUAACUCAUUUUAUAAAUGGGGCUAACAGUGCCCAUCCUCCCUACAUUGGAGAAUUGUGAGGCAAGAGGAAAUAAUGUAUGCAAACGUGCUUUGUAGAGUAUAAAGCCCAUUAGACUUUAAAAUAUUUUUAUUAUAGGAGAAGGCACCCAAGCAAGAGCAGAUGAGAGCAGGGACUUUGGAGUCAGAGAAACCUAGGUUCAAGUCUGAUCCUGGCUGAUGUUGGAUAAUCAGUUGUGCUUGACGCUCGGACAAACUGGGGUACAAGGGUGUGGGGGUUUGGAGACUAACUAGAAAGGACAUAAUUCCAGGCAAAGGAUGUUUCAUGAGCAAAGGUAUGGAAGUGAAAAUGGACACGAAGAGUAAGACCAGGAGACCGGGAGACCAGUAUUGAGGCCAUUGCUGUACUCUAGCUAAGAAGACAUGAGAGCCUUCACAAAGGUAUUGGCAGUGGGAAUGGAGGAGAAAGAAUAGAUGUGAGUACUGUUAAGGUGGUAGAAUUGACUGCACUGAGUGAGGGAUAAGUGAGUAGGACAAUUUUCUAGUAUGGGUGCUGGAAGAGAUAGUGGAACCAUUUAGCAGCAUGAGAAGAAAGAUGAGUCUGGGUUAUCCACCAGUUUCCGUACUAAGUUACUAGACAGUGGUGGUGACAGUCUUGGAGGAUGAUUAGAUUUGUGGGAUGAGAUGGCGAUGAAUUCAAAUAUAAAUCUGCUUAUUGGGGAAACAUUUAAUCUCCACUCAUACUUCUUUCCAUUUGGAGUGAUACCCAUUAAUAUAAUACUCCUGGCCUCUCCCUGCACCUGCCACAGCUCACUCCUCCCUGGAGCAGUGACUUCCUGACUGGUGAAUUUAAAAGGAGAAACUGGACAUAUAUAGCCCAGCCCAUUCUUUUCCCUUAAAAGAAAAUUGCCUUCAAGGAAUUGCCUUGGUGGUGGUCUCUGCUCCUCUAGGAACAGGACCUGGGGUGGGGUUGAGGGUGCCUGGUCCAGGACUACAAAGUUAGUAAGCCUAUUUAAUUUCAUAAUUUGGUAUUAGGAAGCUCUCUACCACAGGUAAUCCAGCACCAACUUCAUUAGUUGUAUUAUACAGAAUAAUCGUCCCCCAAAGAUGUUCUUGUCCUAAUCUACAGAAUCUUGUGGAUGUGUUCCCUCUCUUACAGGGCAAAAGGGAUUUUGCAGAUGGGAUUAAGUUAAGGAUCUUGAGAUGAAGAGAUUAUUUUAGAUUAUCUGGCUGGGCUUGGAGGUAGGAAGGUUAGAAUCAGGGAAGGAGAUGUGAUGACGGAAACAAAGCUCAGAGAGAAAGAGUGAUUUGAAGAAACUGCACUACUGGAAUUGGACAUGGAGCCAAGGAAUGCAGACAGCUUCUGGAAGCUGGAAAAGGCAAGGAAAUGGAUUCUUCCUUAAAGUCCCCAGAGAGAACCCAGUUCUGCCAAUACCUUGAUUUUAGGAUUUCUAAUUUCCAGAACUGUCAGUCCUAGGUAUGGAUGAGAUCAAUCAGGGAGAAAAUAUAGAAGAAACAAUAAAGAAGACCAAGGAUAGAGUCCCGGGAAGCACUAACUGUAAAAGGGGGUGGCAAAUGAACAGAAGCCCACAAGGAAGUCUGAGGAACUUGCAUAAUGCCUCAAGGCCGUAAUGUCUGGAAAGCCAAGAAUUGCGAGAUGGAGACCGGGGUCAGCGGAGUCACAAGUAGGAUCACAGGCGAUGUGAAUUAUAUAACUGGCUGUUUUCUCCUUUCACUUUGACUGCCAAGAAGCUCCGAGAAAUUUUGUGGUUCAGCAUUAGUAACUGGGAGGACCCUUGGCCUGCAUAUCUGUAUUCCAUUGGUUUGAAAUUUUUCAAAAUAAAAAGUUGGGGGAAAAAUAAUCUAAAUUCUUCUUUAUUUUUGAAAUUUUUGACAGUGUACAUUUAUAAUUAGAAAAAGGAAA